rnacentral:rRNA from 1 species
UACGGGGGAGCAAGCGUUGUUCGGAUUUACUGGGCGUAAAGGGCGCGUAGGCGGCCAGCACAAGUCAGUUGUGAAAUCUCCGAGCUUAACUCGGAAAGGUCAACUGAUACUGUGCGGCUAGAGUGCAGAAGGGGCAACUGGAAUUCUUGGUGUAGCGGUGAAAUGCGUAGAUAUCAAGAGGAACACCUGCGGCGAAGGCGGGUUGCUGGGCUGACACUGACGUGAGGCGCGAAAGCUAGGGGAGCGAACGGG